rnacentral:rRNA from 1 species
UACGAGGGGGGCAAGGCGUUGUUCGGAAUUACUGGGCGUAAAGGGCUCGUAGGCGGCCAACUAAGUCAGACGUGAAAUCCCUCGGCUUAACCGGGGAACUGCGUCUGAUACUGGAUGGCUUGAGGUUGGGAGAGGGAUGCAGAAUUCCAGGUGUAGCGGUGAAAUGCGUAGAUAUCUGGAGGAAUACCGGUGGCGAAGGCGGCAUCCUGGACCGACAUUGACGCUGAACGGCGAAAGCUAGGGGAGCAAACGGG